rfam:Aedes aegypti strain Liverpool supercont1.225 genomic scaffold, whole genome shotgun sequence.
UGCCCAGCAACUCCUAUCCCUACCUCCUCGUGGUACUGGCCGGGGUACGAGUAACCUUGGGGAAGAUCGGAUAACCAACCCCCGGUGGGAACUUUGGUCGUAUGCUGACAGGGAAGG